GGCGGUCCCAGCUCACUGGGGCGCUGCGCGGCCGCCCCAGCCCUCCCCGCGGACGUUCCGGGCCCCUAGCUUCAGAGCCCUUCCUCUUCAGCUGGCCCAUCUGGUGUGGGAUGCUGGGGCAGAGGCAUCAGUCUGAGUGGAGGUCAGAGGUGAGCUCAGCAGAAGGGUGGCAGGAAUGGCCUUUGUCCUCCAGUCCCAGCACCUGCCUGAGUCCAGACAAGACCUGCUUCCUGGUCCACAGCCUUUGCAGCUGAACUCAAGAACCUGGCCUAGUCCUGCUCCACAUGUGACUCCAUCCUGAACCAGUGUGCAGAGUCAAGCACUCUGCUCUGCCCUGGCAGGGGCAGGCAUACACCCAUGCCCUCGCCCUUCGGCAGGGUGAGGAUCGGGCAAAAGCAGGAAGUGGGCACCGCAGGGACAGCUGGGGCAGGUCCCAAAGCCACUCUGGGCCGCCUGGACCUGUAGUGUUUGCAGAUGGUAUGGAACAGGUGACCUUCCCCUUUGUGUGCCAGUGAGAGGGGGGUGUCAAGGGCUCCAGACUCAGAUCUGUUAACUGAAAGCUUUCUGCCCGGUCUGCAGAAGGAACCCGCAGCCCUUCUGGCCAUCCUAAUGGAUGGUGCCCCAGCCACAGAGAUGCUUGGGAGCACUGGCCUUUCCCUGCCUGCGUGUGGAUCUGCUGCAUGGGCACGCUGAGUGGGAGAAUAGGUGUCCAGGCUGCCUGACGUCCACUCUGGGUCAGACGAAGCCAGCUGAGGGCCCUGGGUGAGGACAUGACAGUGAUGCUGGCUCUGGAGGAGGCCCAGGACACUGGCAGCCUGCCACCCUCAGCAGUGUACAGAGGAGCAGUGUUCCGACCAGGCGUCAGGAUGGAGGGCAGCGUGGCUGGAGAAAACAACAGAUGAAGGCAAGCUACUAGGAAAAUCGGCUCAGACCCUACAUUAUGUGGCUGAAGUCCCCUAGCUCACUCAGAGACCCUACAACUGGAGCUGCUCUGUGAACUGGCCACUGUCCCCACAGCCUUGCUCCCCUGGACCUCAGAGGUGCCCACAGGGAAGGGAGAGUGUUGGGGUGAGAAUCUGAAGCUGAUUGGCUCACUUGCUCUGCUCUCUGUGGAAACCCCAGCCCACCAUUCUGCCCAGGCCUGGGGGGGGGGGCGCGGGGAGGCAGACGGGCACUCACACAGGCACUCACACACAGGGCCACCUGCCUGCAGCUCUGGAGGAACUGGUGGCAGAGAGAACAGGCAGCGUACAAUGUCAAGAACCACUGUGUGAGAAAGCACAGGAACGGGCUGCAGCUCGGAGGUGGAGGCUGCUUCUCUGGGGUGCACUGCAGGGCCGCCCUCUGGCAGUCUCUUUUCUGCAGGGCUUCUCCCUCCUCUGGUGGCCCCACUUACAGGGCCUGAGUGGAUGUCCCUGUGCAUCACACCCCAUGGCUGUUCUCACACCUGGGCCCCCAGAGGUUUGUUGUGCUCUGGACCCUGCCAGACACCCAACAAAAAUCAUUUGUGAACUACCCAGGACCGUCUGUGGCAAAUCAGUAGGAGAAACACCACCUGCUCGCUCAGCAGGGCGGGAGACUGCUGGGACCUGGCAGGGUAUGGAGGAGGUGGCUGCAGCACGGCUGAGCCAGACGUCUACCUGACGAAGGCCGCAAUGGCCACCACCUGAAGGGCAGCCUCCAGGCCGUGGAGCACCAGGAGUCCAGCACUGAGGACAGCGUCUGCCCAGAGCACCAGGGUCUGCCAGAGCAGAAAGUGGAUGGAGAGCAGGCCGCUGCCCACUGUGAGGGCCAGGCUGGCAGCUAGGGGCCCCUCAGCCUCUGUCAAGUUGCCCUGUGUGCCUGAAGAGCAAGCAGAUAAGAGUGAGGUGUGGUAGGGCAUGGGCCUGGGGCAGGACCCACCACCCAGUCCUGGUCCUGCUGAGGACAGCAUGAGCCACGGCUCACUGUGGCCACCCCCAGAGCUGGUGCCUGCCUGACCCUCUGGCCAGCGGUGGGUGUGGGGCAGACUUGGGUAUCUGAAACCAUGGGCAUCUGCCACCCUUUUGCAUUUAAAACUUCCAAAAAUAUUUUACUAAAGCCAGUU